rfam:Gossypium arboreum cultivar AKA8401 contig_97245_1, whole genome shotgun sequence.
AAUAAUUUUAUGCCAUAUCAUUACUUUUAUCCUGAAUUUCAGGAUUUUAUCCUGAAAAAAAUCAAAUCCAAAUUAAAAUCCUGAAAUUCAGGAUAAGAAUAUUGAUGUGGCAUAAAACUAUU